CAUCACCCAAACCGGCUCCGUCAUCGACAAUCCACCAGCCACCCUCCCUUCCCUUUUAUUUACGCCUUUCCCCUCGAUCGCCCCGUCCUCUCCUGCUCCCAUCGCCCGUCGCAGUCUCGUCUUUGUUUCGUCGCGAGAAUCAUCUCACGGCACGGUUAGUGGUCUGUUCCUUCUGAUCCAGGAUGAUGUGUCAUCCGAUCCGAAGAGGUGUUCCUGUAGCGGAGGAUUUGCCUCUCUGGUACAUGUGUAUCCCUUGAGCCAAGUUCGUCUAAGAUUUUCUGGCGAUACGCUUGCGACGCCUGAAUCGGUUGAUGCGCCAGAUCCUUCGGUUUUUGUUCCGGGCACGCCGAUGGUUCAUGUUCAUCGUCACUGGUUUAUGAUGCCUGCUGACCACUGAUUAUCUUCGACGAUGCUCGCCUUCUAGUUGAAGAAGGCGCCUGAGGGAAGUGGUCAUCCGAUUUAUGCUUCAGGUUCGUGGUUCCUUCUGCUGACAAGAUGAUGCUUGCCUGUCUCCAAACAUCACAGAAAGGUAAUUGUGUUGGUAGGCUGAUUGACGCGCAUGUGUGUACGUGCGUGCUGUAUUAUUACAUGUUGUACUGCAUUGGUAGCGUAGGACGGCCUUUGCCAUGUCGGGUGCGCUCGCUUGGCAGGCCAUGAGACAAUAAAAUGAAUAUUUUGCUGGUGUUUGCGGGGUGGAGAUCGCACGGGAACUAUCAAUUUGUUCUAUUUUGCCCGGGUUCUCCACCCUGCCAUGGUGUCUCUGUCCUUCUCUCGUGUUGUUGAUUCCGUGACAUCAUCUUUGUUGAUUCCGCUAUAUCAUCUUAAGUACACCGCGAUCCUUCAUAUCAAAUAUAUCGACAGGUGCAGCGAUAACUACGUACUGAAGAUCAAUGAUAACUGCAUACUCAAGAUCGAUGAUAACUACAAACCAAGGUACAUCUAGCUGCUUCUAUCAGGCAAGCACUUCGUUAUAUCAAUUUAAAUUUGCAUAUCGCACGUCACCCCAACGCAAAACAUAACCAUACUGAACAACCAUAUUUUGGUUUGAUACAAAUCGUUCAUACCUGUAAAUCUUGUACUCUUGCACCGCGCCAGCACGAUAGUACUGAAAUAUCAAUAAGAUAUCAUUACUUCAUUAGCAUUCUUUUUCAAUGCAAUGUCUUCUGUUAGAAAAAGAGAGUUGUUAACUUUUUGCAGCACAAGCUUUUCCAGAAUUUUUGGUUACUCUGCAUAUUUUCGACAAUGGUCGUCUAGUUGAUGAAGGCUCUCCAGUGCUUGCUGCUGUCCACAAGGCGCAGGAGGGAAUUGGUCAUCCUAGUUAUGCUUCAUGUUUGCUGAUCAAAUCUAGAUAUGGCGUUCAUGGUUCCUUUUGCUGACAAGGUGAUGCUUGCCUGUCUCCGAACAUUGCAGAAAGGUAAUUGUGUUGGUAAGCAGAUUGAUGCGCAUGUGUUGUAUUACUUGCUGUACUACAUUGGUAGGUAGGACGGUCUUUGCCAUGACGGGUGCGCUCGCUUGGCAGGCCACGAGACAAUAAAACGUAUAUUUUGUUGGUGUUUGCGGGGUGGAGAUCGCACGGGGAACUAUCAAUUUGUUCUAUUUUGCCCGGGUUCUCCACCCUGUCAUGGUGUCUCUGACCUUGCCCUGUGUUGUUGAUUCCACAAGAUCAUCUAAAAUUGCACCACGAUCCUACAUAGCAAAUGUAGGCCUGGGUGCAGUGAUAACUACGUACUGAAGAUUAAUGAUACUACAAACGAAGGUACAUCUAACUGCUUCUAUCGGGCAAGCACUUCGCUACAUCAAUUUAAAUUUGCAUAUGCACGUCAUCCCAACUCUUCGUCAAUGAACAACCUUAUUUUGGCUUGAUAUGAGAUCUAUCAUACAUGUAAAUAUUGUACUCUUGCACCCCACGAGAGAUCAUCAGCAUUCUUGUUCAAUGUUACAAUGUCUUCUUUUAGAAAAAAGCCGUUUGCAGGCUUUUCCGAGAAGCUUUGUUUUCUCUGCAAAAAUUUUAUUGUACAAUGUUACGAGCUCUGUACCUUUGUCAUAAUUCAACUAUUUCCUGUUAGUUCUCAUGAUGUGUGCACAGGUGAGUUCCAUUUGUUCUA